UUAAACGUGCAAGAAGUUUAUAGUAUGGUUGCUAAAAACGUGCUACAUUUUUGACUCCGUCUUAGUUGCAAUUGAAAUACCUUGAACGUUCACUUAGCAGGUACAUCAUAGAAUUAUAUGCAGUGUAAUGAUAUGAAGUAAACUGAAAGCGUACUAAAUUUCUGUGUGUGUUGACUGCAUUUCCUGUAAUUUACCGGCUCCCUGGUCCGCUAUCUAGACGUAGCUCUAGGAACACUAACACUCGUUGUUUAACUAUUUCCAUGAAUGUGUAAGAAAUAUAUAAUAUUAAGAACAGGUGUCAGUGUGGUGAGAACGUUUUUGUCGGAUAACAUAUUCGUGAUAUUCUUUAUUUUAUUGAGAAGUUACUAAACAAUGAUGUUGUGAUCGACGGGAAAACAAUUAUUUACGAUGUCUAAAAUUGAAUGGGAUUGAUUAAAAGAUCAAAAUACCAAUACUGGAAAAGCUGAUGACUGUGACAAAAGGCGCUAAUCGAAGAAAAAAAUAGCAGAGACGAACUAUUACACACGAAUAAGAUAUACAUGAUCAAGAGAAGAACGAAUAUACAGAGAAUAACAUCCCAGGUCAAAUAUUGAACAAGGAUCAGAAGAAUGAAUAGAUUUAGACAUUUGUGAAAGGAACAAUGGAAACUUUGGAAGUUUACUCUUUCUGAAACGUAUAACUACAACAAAGAUGUGAUCAUUGUAUUAGAAACUGAAUUUUCCAGUCUUCUAGUGGUUUAAAUAGCUUAACAAGACAGAUAUCUUCAUGUUUUUAUACACUUAUCUUUUUCAUGUUUUUUUAAUAUUAUAUCUGAUCGAAGUAGCAUUGAAAAAACGGGAAUAUAUAAAAAUUUAAGAGAAAGUUACUACAUUUUGUACUUGGAAUAGAAUCAUUCUUAGCCUAUAAAUCUGGAGUCCAGGUGUUUUUUUAUUAUUUCUUAUUAUACAUUUCUCUGUAAACUUAUUGAAUUUCUUCUAAAUUGCAUACUUUAACUAUUUAUAAUAAAUACGUUAUUACUAUUUUGAGUAAGCAUGCAGCUGAAGCUGCUUUGUCUGUUUGGGCAACAUCAAAGCGUAUAUCUCAACAAACACUAAAAUUAACAGAUAAAAGUGAAAAAUGUAAAUUGAAUCAUUCGCUUUUAUCUUAUUUUAAUAGAUAAAGAAAAUUAUAAGGAUUAUAAGGAGAUUCAAACCAGGAACUAAAGAACUAGGAAAUUCUACACGGUCGGGUCGGCAUAACGCUUUACCACACGGCCGAUCAGUCGGUAAAUAAUAUGUAAAUAUUUUCAUUAACUUGAACCACACAGGUUCACCUUGCUCAAAUGACAGGUCAUCCCUAUCAAAAUUUCUAGUUUUAUGCAUGUGCAGGCUUUUCAUUUAUUUUGCAAAUAAGUUAUAAUUUAUAUGCAACGAUAAAGAUGUUUACGAAGAGUAAACAUAAUACAAAUGUACAUACACAAGAGACUGGAAAAAAUUAUCAGCCACGGAUAGGGUAGUAUUGAUACAAGAACACCUUUAUAUUUUAACGUAUCGUUGACAUUACUGUUGUUAUCAGAUAUCUUAAAACAAUUAAUGUGCGUCAUUUCAAAUCUUAUGAUUCACAGGUUUUGAUUUAUUCAUGCUAAUGUUAAGGAUCUGCCACAACAUACAUGCUUGUAUUUGUUAAAGGGAGCAAACUCAAUUAAAAGGGUUCAAUUGUAAUAUCUUUUUAUAAUUUUGAGUUACGAAGAAACCAAUUAAAGGGAGCAGACUCUUUGAAAGAUAAAUGUCUUAUUCUGUAUGUAUUUUGUGCUGUAAUGCAACUUCUGUUGUUGCAGACUUACUGUGUUAGUACUUAUUUUAAUUAGAAAUAAUGUACCGGUAAGACUAUAUAAGCACAAAUAUUGUCAACAUAUUAUUUACAUUUUAUAAGGUAAAACAUUGUUAAUAUUAUUAACCUGCAAAGAUUAAAUUAAAAUCUGUGAAAUGAUCAUGAAUUUUUCGUCUUAUGACUUCCCUGUCAAAACGUAAAUCAAGAUUAUAUGGAAAUAUUAUUGGUGCAAUAGCUAAAACUAACAUCGCAUUCGUUUCUGCAGUCGAUAUGUGUGCUUGUUUUAGUAGAAUGAUUGCUAUUUUGGAGAUAUUGUAUUUUUUUUCACGUCGUCUUUAAUACAGAUCUGAGAUUAGUUUAAACUCGUUUUUUCUCUCCAGUUAAGUAGGUAUCAUUUUGAUUAGUAAUCAUUGUUGGAUUGUUGGAGAAAAGACUCAGAGCAAAGGGGAAAUGUUACAAUAAACUAAUUUUCAACUUCAUUUGAAAGAAAAUAUAGAACGUGGUGUUAAUUUGCAACCUUUCAACUUUAAAACCUGUGCAAAGACAUUUAUUUCUCUGUGUAAUACCGGUAGCUGAUUUCACCAGACUUUUUGUUGCGUUAUUUUUGUUGGGAUCCUGCUGUAAUUCAGCGGGAUUUCAACCAAAAACGCUCUGGCCCCGAUUUCACGAAAAAUCUUAAGUAAUUCCUUAGCUAAGACUGUUAUUUUAAAAGCAUUUUAUUGCUUAAGCUAUUGUUAUUUAAUGCUGAUUUUUUCUAUACCAACAUGACCAAUGUAUUUAUAGCUAAAUUAAACUAUGGUUAGUAGUAUUUGUCUACAGUACUUAUUUCAGUCACGCAAA